rnacentral:rRNA from 1 species
UACCGCAUAUGACGAAAGUUGAAAGGAGUAAUCCGUCUAAAGAUGAGCCCGCGUCCGAUUAGCUAGUUGGUAGAGUAAAAGCCUACCAAGGCGACGAUCGGUAGCUGGUCUGAGAGGAUGAUCAGCCACAAUGGACUGAGACACGGCCCAUACUCCUACGGGAGGCAGCAGUGGGAAUUUUACGCAAUGGGCGAAAGCCUGACGUAGCGACACCGCGUGAGCGAAGAAGCCCCUUGGGGUGUAAAGCUCUGUCAGCUGGAACGAAAAAAAUGACGGUACCAGCAGAGGAAGCAUCGGCUAACUACGUG